rnacentral:tRNA from 1 species
GGCCCCCUAGCUCAACUGGCAGAGCAACUGACUCUUAAUCAGUAGGUUCAGGGUUCGAGUCCCUGGGGGGUCACCA